UACGAAGGGGGCUAGCGUUGUUCGGAAUUACUGGGCGUAAAGCGCACGUAGGCGGUGUUCCAUGUCAGAGGGGAAAGCCUGGGGCUCAACUCCAGAAUUGCCUUUGAAACGGGAACGCUUGAGUCCGAGAGAGGAUGGCGGAAUUCCUAGUGUAGAGGUGAAAUUCGUAGAUAUUAGGAAGAACACCAGUGGCGAAGGCGGCCAUCUGGCUCGGUACUGACGCUCAGGUUCGAAAGCGUGGGGAGCAAACAGG
rnacentral:rRNA from 1 species